rnacentral:rRNA from 1 species
AGUGAACGCUGGCGGCGUGCUUAACACAUGCAAGUCGAACGAGAACGGAAUAUAGCUUGCUAUAUUUGUCAGCUAAGUGGCGCACGGGUGAGUAAUGUAUAGAUAACCUGCCCUUAAGAAAGGAAUAACAGUUGGAAACGACUGCUAAUGCCCUAUAUGCCUUUAAUACAUAAGUAUGCAAGGGAAACGCUUUAAUGCUUAAGGAUGGGUCUGUAUGGUAUCAGCUUGUUGGUGAGGUAAUGGCUCACCAAGGCUAUGACGCCUAACUGGUUUGAGAGGAUGAUCAGUCACACUAGAACUGAGACACGGUCCAGACUCCUACGGGAGGCAGCAACGGGGAAUAUUGCACAAUGGACGAAAGUCUGAUGCAGCAACGCCGCGUGGAGGAUGACACAUUUCGAUGCGUAAACUCCUUUUAUAUAGGAAGAUAAUGACGGUACUAUAUGAAUAAGCACCGGCUAACUCCGUGCCAGCAGCCGCCGUAACAC